AAGUAAUCCCUUCUUAUAAUAAAGUGUGUAUGAUACCUUUCGUUUAUUUCCUCUUAAUUUUCUAUUUAUUUCUGUUUAUUUACUUAUUUUUACUCUUUCUCUGUUCCCCCACAGGCAUGCCGGCACCUGGGGCCCAUCCACUCCAGUUCUCCACAUCAAUUGACCACCCUGCGGACAUGCUAGUGGACUACGUAUCUACGCCAAGGACGUCGUCCCCUACCAACCUCUCGGCGUCCCUCUUGAAGACGACAUUACCGACGUACACGCCAUCACAAUCAUACUAAAAGGUGUUAUGGUGACCUCCCCUACCUGUUAACUCUGCUCUCGUCACUCCUUCAACAGUACCCUUUCAACAGCGACCUUGCCAGGGAGAGACACAAAAUCCCAGCUGGACCAACCUUUAUAAACCCAGCUGACUCCAGACUGCGCAUGCAAGUAACCUCUGUCUCCGAACACCUUCCCCUCACCUACGAUUCGGACACGGUUGAGUGGCAUUCCAUUCCUGGCCGUAGUCAGCUGAGCGGGCGAGAGUCUCCACCCCGCAACUGAACAACGACCUGCACUCAUCCGUCCUUUAUACUGACUUCUCCCGCCCUUCCACAGUCUCUCAGCUACU